rnacentral:snRNA from 1 species
GCCAUUCGGGGCAUAUGGUCAAAUGAAAAUAUACAGAGAAGAGUAGUAUGGCCCCUGCACUAAGGAUGACGUACCCUAAUCAAAGAGAAGCUACCUAUUUUU